CUUGGGCCGCUCCCAUGGCAUAUGGAGGUUCCCAGGCUAGGGGUCUAAUCGGAGCUGUGGCCGCCAGCCUACACCAGAGCCACAGCAACGCGGGAUCCGAGCCGCGUCUGCAACCUACACCACAGCUCACGGCAACGCCGGAUCGUUAACCCGCUGAGCAAGGGCAGGGACCGAACCCGCAACCUCAUGGUUCCUAGUCGGAUUCGUUAACCACUGCGCCACGACGGGAACUCCCCUGACUCCCUUUCUUCUUGCUCUGCGCUGGGGACUUGGAACAGAGCCGGGGUGAAAGAGUCAUGAGCCCGCGUGCCAGUGUGUGGAUAGGGAAGAUCUCAGGGCUCUUGCUGUUACCCAGAGACAUCUUUGGCUCUGGAUGCAAAGGGUCACUGCUGGGGGGUUGCCUGAGGAAGCUGUUAUAAAAGCUUCUUCCAUACUCGCUUCCUAUUAGCUACAUCCUUGCCAUUUCCAUGGCAACUAGGAAGCAUCUUGGGUUUCAGUGAACUAUUGCUUUAGGGGAUAUGGGGGGACAGCUGGACGGAACAGGUAGAGGUUGAGAUGUUUAAAUCUACCCAUUUUAUCCUUUCCCCAGGCUCUCACAGGGCUGUCCUCCAAAGCAGGUGCAGGAAUGUAAGGAUCAUUAUUCACUUCGUAGCCUUGAGGCCACAGAGGCCCAUCCUCAGAGUCACAAACACCUGAGCUAGAAACAUUCUGUGGCUCAGCUUCCUCUUGUGACCUAGUCUUUCCCUUCAGCUCCUCUCCUCUCUGCCCAUCUUUCUUCUUUCUCCUUCUCUUCCUUUAGCUUCUUCCUCAAGUCUCUGGCGGAGACCAAGCCUCGUGCCAGAGUCAGGGGGAAGGCAUCGCCGGGCGAUGUGGAGGGAGGGAAACGAAGUACAGAGGUUAAGAGCAAAGUCUGCUUUCUAGCCACGUGACCUUGAACUUCAGCUUCUUCCUCAGUAAAAUAGAGAUAAUUCUUCCUUCUUAGGAAUGUCGUGAAAAUUAUGUGGCUUAAUGUACACGUGGCACUCAAACAGUGCCUGUCACACAGAUGGGCCCCGGUAAGUAGAGUGACCCACACACUUCUGGGUCUAGGACAGUCUCAUUUUAAGCCCACUCUGCCAGCAUUGCUAUUAACAGCGCCCUUUUCCCAUUUCGAAAGUAUCCAGGGUUUGGAUGCUAAAUGGGGUUCCUCUGCCUAUAGCCCCAGCUAUUUUGCCACGGAGCAGUGACCCCUAAUUUUGAGGAUGUAUAGGAUUGGAUGCCACAGGCUAGGAAGUAAGGCAGGUAAGUGCCUCCACAAUUAGCCAAUUCAUGUUAAUCCAUUUUAUCUAUGGAGAUUAAAAAAAAAACUGUAACAUGGCUGUUUCGCUGUUCUGCACCCCCUCCCACCUCUAUGGUAAAAGAUGCAAAGGACCAAUAAGGAUGCAUUCCCUCGGGGUCCCACCGGGGAUGCUCCUUCAGAAAGCAAGUUUUGAAAGCCCAACCCUGAGAGCUGCUUUCUGCUCCUUCUCUGGACAGGUAACUGAGGUCAGGGUGCCAGGAUCACCAAGGGCAGCCAGCAAGGCUGUGAAUUCCUUAGAGACAUGAAAUACGCAAAUGCUAUUGGGAAAAUGGAGCCAACAGACCUGCUUGACAUGGGGAUGGAACAAAUCUUUCUGUAAAAAAUGCAAUUAUCUGCAAAGCGCAAUAAAGCAAAGGGCGAGAAAACAAAGUAUGCCUAUACAAAGAAAGAUAGGUAGAGAGAUAGGUAAGACAGACAGACAGACAAUGAUCUGAAGUACACAAGGACCUCAGGGCCAGGGUUUCAAGUCCUUGUUACAUUUGGCUAAUAUUCACAGUAUUUCAAACUCUCCACCAACAAAAAAAAAGAGUAUGAUUUGUUGAUGGCACCCAUGACGGUUAGCAUUUUUUUAGCAAUAAAAUACUUUUAAUUAAGGUAUGCACUUUUUUGUCUUUGAGACAUCAUGCUAUUGCAAACUUUUUUCAAUUUUACUUUCAAUUUUUUUUAAAUUGCUGUUUCCCCAAUAUAUUUUUUUUUCCUACUGUACAGCAAGGUGACCCAGUUACACAGACAAGGACACGUUCUUUUUUCUCCCAUGCUCAUGCUCCAUCAUAAGUGACUAGACAGAGUUCCCAGGGCUACACAGCAAGUAUUGAAAACUUCAUAGACUGUAGAAUAGUGCAAACUUUUAUACGCACCGGCAAACCAAAAAAAUUUGCAUGAUCCAACUUUAGUGCUUAAUUUGCUUUAUUGCAGUAGUCUGGAACGGAACCCCAAAUAUCUCUGAGGAAUACAUGUCUCUAUUUAUCCAUCUGAAACCAAGCAGGCCCCUGUGGGCUCCUGGGCACACAAGCCUUUCUGGGUCCCCCCUUUCUUGUUUGGGGGAAUAAACUUCAGCCUCCAUGACCUUCCCUGAGUUCCCCAAGGACCAGUUCAAACAGUUGCUGAUCAGGGAAGGGAGGGGAGGCAGAGACCUGAGAAGAGCAAUUAAGAAACAAUAGUGCAGCUUUGGGGCAGGGUCCUGGUCCCUCCUCAAGGAAUAUGCAUAACAAUAUCUUUGAGUUCUUCCCCCGAACUAGAACCCCCAACCAAUGGAAGAUGUUAAUGAAGCCUUCUUUAUUCUGGAAAGAAGACCAUUGGACCCCUGAGCCCCAACUUUGAAAACAAUGCAAGCUUGCCUCUGCCCUGAUCCUUAUCUGCAGGCCUAUUUUUCACUCCCCAAACUCUAAAACCACCUCCAAAAUCUCUAAUGAGGGUGCAGUCUUUAAGGCAUUAACCUGCCGUGACCCUCCUUUGGCAAAGCCGUAAAGCUAUUUUUUUCUCCCUCUGCAAAAACUCUGUCCCCCCGUGUUUCUAUGAGGGACCAGUGAGCAGAAGCGGGAGUUCUGGCAACACAUCUAUCCAUCUCUCUCCCUAUGUUAA
rnacentral:lncRNA from 1 species